AACGAACGCUGGCGGCGCGCUUAACACAUGCAAGUCGAACGAGAAGGCGUAGCAAUACGCUUGUACAGUGGCGAACGGGUGAAGAAUACAUGGGUGACCUACCCUCGAGUGGGGAAUAACCCGCCGAAAGGCGGGCUAAUGCCGCGUACGCUUCUAUGUUUACGAACGUGGAAGGAAAGCUGUACCGUGGGUACGGCGCUCAAGGAUGGGCUCAUGUCCUAUCAGCUUGGGUGGGGUGAUGGCCUACCAAGGCGACGACGGGUAGCCGGCCUGAGAGGGCGACCGGCCACACUGGGACUGAGACACGGCCCAGACUCCUACGGGAGGCAGCAGUGGGGAAUCUUGCGCAAUGGGCGAAAGCCUGACGCAGCGACGCCGCGUGAGGGAUGACGGCCU
rnacentral:rRNA from 1 species